rnacentral:sRNA from 1 species
AUUGAAAAAGACAUCAAAAACAAAGUUAAUAGGUAAAUGAUGAACUUGAACAAAAAAAUUCCAGCAGAUGACAUAUUUUUCUACUAUGUAAAGAGUUUUUACAAAUCUCUAAGAAUAUCCCAAUAACAAUAAUGGACACAGCAUAUCAACAAGCAGACUUAAAAAUCAAAAAAGAAGGUGUGAGCCACCGCGCCUGGCAAAUUUUUUUUUUUUUUAAUUCUCACAUCGACUAUUACACUAACAGCAUAUUAACCAAUAGCCUGUAUUCUCAUCAGUUCUGUUUCAUUGCCAGAUUCACCUUCCUCCAAUAUCACAUGCUACUCUUUGCCUCUAGCAUAAAACCCAGACUCUCAAGCCUGCCAGUCAAGGCCAUCGAUGACUUGUUGCCUUGCUACUUUUCUCUCCUUAUCGC